rnacentral:lncRNA from 1 species
CCAUCUUUUAAAAUUGUGUAUGCUGUUCCCAUAGUGCGAUGCGAUCUUCCAGGAGGCCUAUGGGUCGGUUUUCAUCACCACUCUUGUCCUUGGAUUCAGCCCGUCCAUCGAUGGAAACACUACAAUAGAGGUGGAGCUUGUUUUCAAUAACACAGCAUCACCUGAAGUGACCGUUUCAACUGCCGAUGUACUGGAGACCAUGACGACGGCAGCAACCAACACCUCCGCUGGCGGAUUCUCCUUUGAUCCUGAAUCUAUUGUUGUCACAGGUAUGGUCACACUUUCCAUAUUUGAUAAAAAAUAAUAUUUCCAAUAACAAAAGUAAAACAAAGGUUUGUAUAAAUACAUAGUUACAAGUAACAUGUUCCUUCUCAGAAACGCAAAUCCCAACAGCAACUCCGACGACAGCAGCAACAGCAACUACAACUACGCCAACUCCAGCUACAGCACCCUCAGUUCCAACUACAGAUUAUUUUGUCACAGGAACUCUCACACCAAGCUCAACCAAGGCACCCAUCACAAGCACAAUCGUCUCUUCUGUUACACCAACCAUCACAACAGACGUAUCGGUUCCCACCCCAACUGUAAAUGUUGCUCCUGUCACGGUCACAACUGGAGCAUCUUCCACAUCAAGCAGCACCAUGGGUUCCACCCAAACAUCUUCCACAGCAAGCAGCACCAUGGGUUCCACCCAAACAUCUUCCACAGCAAGCAGCACCAUGGGUUCCACCCAAACAUCUUCCACAGCAAGCAGCACCAUGGGUUCCACCCAAACAUCUUCCACAGCAAGCAGCACCAUGGGUUCCACCCAAACAUCUUCCACAGCAAGCAGCACCAUGGGUUCCACCCAAACAUCUUCCACAGCAAGCAGCACCAUGGGUUCCACCCAAACACCUUCCAGCGAAUCCACGACCAGCCUCAUGACGACCACCAGUCCUCCGACCGCACCAUCAGCCCCUGCUCCGACCUUCAGUUUGUCGGUUACGUUAACACAAACUUACGACGAACAAUUAUCAAACCCGAGCAGUCAGCAGUUUAUUGCACUGCAGUUGAUCGUUGUUACAACGGUGAGUUGGACACAGUUGUGGUUGAUUAA